AAACUUGUCUUUCUUUGCAUGGAAUGGCAUUAAAACAUUAUAAUUGACUAUUUAUGAAUAUAUAUUAAACUUCAUGAACAAAUUAGAAUAGACUAUGAAAUUGUUUUUUAAAACAGGAUUGGAACUACGAGAUGCAACUUAAACUCUCUCAUAUUUAUCUAGAAGACAUACCAAAGAGCACCAAAACUGAUAUCUAUUAAAAAAAAUGCAGU